GAAAAAAAACCCAGAAAACUGCAGUUUUUUUUCUUGUAUGUCCCUUUACUUACUGUCUACACCACACACAUACACACACACACACACACACACACACACACACGUCUCCUUCUGUGGCUGAACAGAUUAGCUAUUAGCCUUAUCCCUCAUGCCCGCUACAUGCCCUAGACAGCACUCUAACCUUCAGCGCUACUCAGCCCAUGCCUGGGUCCUUGGCUUGCCAGCCAAGCAAAGUAAAAGGUGCCAAACAGCUAAUAAACAGCACGUCUGGCCACUUCACUGGUGGACAUGAGAGUCAAUAACCAGUAGUUGCGACGGUGGAUGAGCCUGGAUGAGGACCAUCUGUCUGGCAGACUGUCCAUUACUAAAAGGAAUUCCUUAGAAAACACCGCGCUCCACUAUCCAGAAUGGAGGGUAACCACGUUGGGUGUCUUAACUUUCCUGAGGAAGGAUGUGAGCACAGGAAUAAAGAGCCGAGGAGAAUAAUGUCUCUGCACUUCAAAUGGAAAUACCCAAUGGGCAGGCACUGAAGUCUCGAGGAAACAGUUCUUCAUUCUAGAUCUCGGCUGAGUUGGAGCUGAACCAGCAGUCUGAAAUUUGCAUCUCUAUCAGUCUUCUCUGACACCUUCUUCAAAAACUCUUGGAAUCCUUGCCUCUAGCUGACGUCUUACAUUUUGGCUGGAACUUCAUUUUAGAAAAGCCCAUCGUUUCUCAACAACCUCAGACUUUGUUCUUCCUGUGUGUGGCUUUUCUACUUUUCUGGAUGAACAACCUGUAGUUGAUAGGAAGACUUCAUCUUCCCUCCAGCUAAGCUAAAUCAUUAGAGCAACUUCAAAUUUAGAAGCCUCCAUUUCUUAUAUUUUGUUAAAGAUUUAUUUGUCUGAACUGUUCUGGGUAAAAUAUUUUUUUUUCUCAUUCAAGUUUGAGUAAUUCAAAAGUGUUUCUCUGAUUUUAGAGUUUUUAAACUACCUUGGACUAAACACAGACCUCCAGGAUUCGG
rnacentral:lncRNA from 13 species